CAACGUGAGCAACCUGCCUUUCANAGGGGGAUAACAGUUGGAAACGACUGCUAAUACCGCAUAACGCUGCGAUGGGGCAUCCCGAUGCAGCCAAAGGAGCAAUCCGCUGAAAGAUGGGCUCGCGGCCGAUUAGCUAGUUGGUGGGGCAACGGCCCACCAAGGCGACGAUCGGUAGCCGGACUGAGAGGUUGAUCGGCCACAUUGGGACUGAGACACGGCCCAGACUCCUACGGGAGGCAGCAG
rnacentral:rRNA from 1 species